AAAAAAAGAUGUAAGUCAGGCAGUUUUGAAGACUGUGAUGGGGAGCAGAGGAGUUUACACAGCAGGCAGUUUCAGCAAAAGAUCCAGAAACAGAGAAAAAUGUUAAUCAGUUUCUUCCAAGGAUGCCUUCCUACAUCUCUGCCAUGAACAGUCACAAAGCCUUUUGUUCAGGGUGACACAGCCUGAGGACAGUGUCUUCUGACACCUUUUGUUGAAGGGAUAGGACCGUGCAUUUGCCCUUGUUGAACCUCAUGAGGUUCCUCUCUACCCAGCUCUCCAGUCUGUCCAGGUCUCUCUCAAUGGCAGCACAGCCCUCUGGUGUAUCAGCCACUCUUCCCAGCUUGGGAUCAUCCGCAAACUUGCGGAGGAGGCACUCCGUCACCUCAUCUAGGUCACUGAAGAAAAAGUUGAACAAGACGUGACCUAGUACUGAGCCCUGGGGGACACUACUAGCUACAGACCUCCGACUAUACUCUACACCAGUGAUGACAACCCUCUGAGCUCGCCUUUCAGCCAGUUCUCAAUCCACCUCACUAUCCACGCGUCUAAUCCACACUUGCUGAGCUUCUCUAGGAGGAUGUUAUGGGAGACAGUGGCAAAAGCCUUGCUGAAGUCAAGGUACACAACGUCCACUGCUCUGCCUUCAUCUGUCCAGCCAGCCAUUCCAUCAUAGAAGGCUAUCAGGUUGGCUAAGCAGGAUUCUCCCUUGGUGAAUCCAUGCUGGCUACUUCUGAUCACCUUUUUUUCUUCCAUAAGCUUGGAGAUGACAUCCAGAAUGAGCUGCUCCAUCAGCUUUCUGGGGAUGGAGGUGAGGCUGACCAGUCUGUAGUUGCCUGAGUCCUCCAUCUUCCCUUUUUUGAAGACUGGAGUGACACCGGCUUUCUUUCAGGCUUCAGGCACCUCUCCAGUUCUCCAGAACCUUUCAAAGAUGAUGGAGAGCGGCCUGGCAACAACAUCCGCCAGCUUCCUCAGUACCCAUGGGUGCAUCCCUUUGAGGCCCAUGCAUUUGUGGACAUCAGGUUUGCCUAAAAGAUCUCUAACUUAAUUCUCCUUGACCAAGGGAAAGUCUUUGUUUCUCCAGACUUUCUCCCUUUUCUCCUGGCUCUGGGAUUCCUGAGAGCUGCCCUUGACACUGAAUAUUGAAGCAAAGGUGCAUUUAGUAACUCUGCCUUCUCUGUAUCCUUCAUCACCAGGGCACCCACUUCAUUCAGUAGCAGGCCCACAUUUUCCCUAUUUUGUUUUUGAUGUAUUUGAAGAAGCCCUUCCUGUUGUCUUUGACAUCCCUUGACAGAUUGAAUUCCAAAUAGGCCUUGGUCUUUCUCAUUGCAUCCCUGCAUAAUCCAGCUGUUCUUACACUCCUUCCAAGUGGCCCGUCCCUCUUCCACAUUCUGUGUACUUUCUUCUUCUGUUGGAAAUUUGCCAAGAGCUUCUUGCUCACCCAUGCAGGUCUCCUACUCACUUUGCUGGACUUCUUAUUCAUAGGGAUGUACCAACAUUUGAGUUUGAAUGAAGUAAUGCUUUAAUACUAGCCAGUUCUCCUGGACCCCUCUUCCUUCUAGGUCCCCUCAACCCAUGGGAUUCCUUCAAGUAGUUCCCUGAAGAGGCCAAAGUCUACUCUCCUGAAGUCCAGAGUUGUGAUCCUACUUACUGACUUGCUUCCUCCACGCAGGAUCCUGGACUCCACCAUCUCAUGGUCACUGCAGCCAAGGCUGCCCUGAUUAUUUUUUACAUGUUAAAAAAAAAAAAAAAAAGAAAAAAGAAAAAAGUUUUAAAAUUGGAAGACCUGGCUCAGAAGCUCAGCUUCCUUCUCCAGUAGAUAUACCCUUUAAAAGUUAUUUUUAAAAUAAUGAGAAAAGAAUUCAUUAGCCCAGAAUUUUAUUUUUAAAUUUCUAGAAAAGAUGUGAGAUUUAUGACUACAUACAAAAGGAAGUGUCAGCCUUAGAAAAGAUGUGAGAUUUAUGACUAUAUACAAAAGGAAGUGUCAGCCUUAGAACAUACUUAGAACUUCCUGCAGAGAAAAAAUCCACAGAAAAACAGCAGUGCUCUGUGGUUACCACUAAAUAGUCUUUUUUUUCUUUUUUUUCUUAAAUUAUUUUUUAUAUAUUAUCUCUUAAAUAUUAAAGCUCAAACCCAACAAUAGCAUUUUACCGCUCUUUGCAUUUGCUUCUUUUCUCACUUCACACUUAUGCAAAUUUCUAUGUUAAAUCUAAUUCUAACAAUCUAUCAAAGUUAUAUAUUACCCUGUAAUCGGAUUUUCUAAUCCCAACUCAUGACUGUAAUUUCCCAAGGAAGGGUAAUAGCUUUACUUCCUUAUAUUAGAUAUCAUAAUAAAUGCUAAAGAAGAUAUGAUAAUGCUUCAUUAAUUUUACAUGGCUGGCUAGACUGAGCUAUGUUCUUCAAAAGCAAUGUAGGAUUUCAAACAUUUCCAUGUAUUUACUAUCCAUAAAAACUUCUAACAUGUAUUCUUUUGUUCUAAAACAUCAGAAUCUUUUUUUCUAUCCCUUCAAAAAAUUAUGUCUGCUGCAUACAAAAGUCUACUAAAUUAAGUGGUACAAAUCAAUGUACUAAGAAACUACAGCUUGCUCAGGAUGUGUACAUUAUGUUUUUCCUCUAAAUGGAAGAUGUUUAAUAUAAAAUAUGUCUAAAUUUAAGUAUUCUGCGUAGAGGAAAGAAAUAGAGUUUAGAGAUAAGUAUUUAAGCUUCACUCAUUUUUGUAAUUACUGUAACUUUAGUUCAGAAAAUCUUAGAGAAAAAAAAGGAAGUUAAACAUGCAUUAAAUAGUGGCAGUUAUAAGCACAAGUAAAUGUACAUUUAAUGUUAGAAGGCUAUGCAUUUUCAUUUUGGAAUAUACCUUCAAUGACUUUUCGGAGGUUUUGAUUUCAUUCAAAAGUACUACUAUAAAGAAAUAAGAAAAAAAAAAAAAAAAAAGAAAGUUACAUCCUUAUUUUCCUUCCCAUUGUAAAUGCCCUUCUUCACAUUUACACUACUUGAAAAAAUUACUCAGAAAAAAACAUUUCAACAGACCUUCCUAUUCACUUCUAGAAGAUAGGGAACACUGGUGUAAGUUCCUUCCAAAGAUACCGCUCCAUUUUUUAGGAGUUAGGCUUCUGAACAUACCCUUGGGGACAUGUUGUGGAGACGAUUAACACUGGAGGUGCUUCCUCCUAGGCCCUCACCUCAUCUCAGAACUGAAAACAGUCCUAAAUGUGGAUGGGGAGCAGUGGAAGCUUGUCUCAGAAGCUCCUGGAAGCCAUGGCCAUCCUGUGGUCCUGUCUCUCUGCUAUUUGUUCUCCCUGUUUUCAAGCCUUCAUCCUAUUUUGCACCCUUUGCCUACCCUAACCAUCUCCUCUCAGCAAUCUUUCCUCCUGAUUCCUCAUGGCCAACCACCGGACAUUAUUCUUGUAACGUCUGUCGCUUUCUUACCAACUACAGUGAUUUCAUUGUUCGGCGUGCAGACUUAGAGGAAAUGAUAGUUCUCUAUUUAAAUUUCCUUAAGAAGCAGCUCUCCUGAAACACAGAAAUAUGUGAAGCCUUACAGAUAUAUAACACUGAUUCUUUCCUUCCAUACAAAACAGUAUAUGCACAAGACACAGAAGAUUAUCCAUAGGACUUGAUUACAGAUAUCAAAGAUACGUUUGAAAAAUAGGUUGCUAUACAAUUCAGCAGAAUUAGCUUAUUUGACCUUCUACACUUUUGUUCAAUUUUUGUUUACAGAAAAUAAACAGAAUUCAAAAAAAUUAUGCAGUAUAGAGUCUCUGGUGUGAUAUAAGGAAGUAUACGGUACCAUUAAUGCACACAUUCACA